rnacentral:rRNA from 1 species
CCAACAGGGAUUCCCGUAGUAAGUGAGACUGAAAUGGGAUGAGCCCAGCGCAUAACCUCGUACGAGGGGUGUUGCGUUUCAGAGGGUCUAGCACGCCAUCUCACCGUUAAGUUUACGCUUGAAUGUGUCUAUUGACCAGGGAGGGUGCCAGUCCCGUAUGGCGGCCCAUGAGGGUACGGUAAGAUGGCGGAAAGGGCCUUCUGUAGAGUCGGGUUGCUUGGUAUUGCAACCUAAAGUAGGUGGUAAACUCCAUCUAAGGCUAAAUAUUACCACGAGA